rnacentral:tRNA from 1 species
GACGUAAUAGCUUAAUAAAAGCGUCUCAUUGAAAAUGAGGAAGAUGGUUGCUUUUGCACUUUGGGUCA